rnacentral:rRNA from 1 species
AUUGAACGCUGGCGGCAUGCCUUACACAUGCAAGUCGAACGGCAGCAUGGGUGCUUGCACCUGAUGGCGAGUGGCGAACGGGUGAGUAAUGCAUCGGAACGUACCCGGAAGUGGGGGAUAACGUAGCGAAAGUUACGCUAAUACCGCAUAUUCUGUGAGCAGGAAAGUGGGGGAUCGCAAGACCUCGCGCUUCCGGAGCGGCCGAUGUCGGAUUAGCUAGUUGGCGGGGUAAAGGCCCACCAAGGCAACGAUCCGUAGCGGGUCUGAGAGGAUGAUCCGCCACACUGGACUGAGACACGGCCCAGACUCCUACGGGAGGCAGCAGUGGGGAAUUUUGGACAAUGGGGGCAACCCUGAUCCAGCCAUGCCGCGUGAGUGAAGAAGGCCUUCGGGUUGUAAAGCUCUUUCGGCCGGGAAGAAAUCGCACAGGUUAAUACCUUGUGUGGAUGACGGUACCGGAAUAAGAAGCACCGGCUAACUACGUGCCAGCCGCCGCAGUAAUAC